UCCCAUCUUGACCGGUUAUCCCCGCUCCAUUGCCAUCCUGACCCGCUCCGAGCCUGCUGCGGGCGAAAGCAAUGGGCGUCGUCUUCCUCGGCGGAUGUAAUGCUCCGUCCCGCCUCCAUCGUGCCCAUCCCUUUUCUCCUUCUGCCGAAUCGCUCUGGUGCACACCAAAUCAAUCUUCCGCUCGUCAAAUCAAAGGAUAAUGCCAACUCCUUGCCUGAUUCCAUCCCCAAUCCUCAAUCUCCAUUCACUUGCUCGAUUCCCUGGUCAAUCAAUUGCAAAGCAUGUGUUGUGGAGUGAGAUCUGACAGCCGGAUGACGCUGCGGUAGGUGUCGUGUCGGAAGGGCCGCCCUGUCCCCGUGAACCCGUCGAUGAGGUGCGCAGGUACGCCUCCAGGUCGUGCCAGCAGGUGGGUCUUGCGUCCGGGCGGAGGCACGGCGAGUUCUUGCUGUUGAUCCGGAGCUCCGCGCCGAUGUGCUGGUACUGCUCCUUCUUGUGCGGCUGCCGCGGCGCCACUCUGGGCACCUUGGUGACCGCAUAGCCCGCGUUCACGAUGCGCAGGAGGUUGACCUUGCCGCAUCUGUUGAGCCUGUCCAUGAACGCGGAGUUGCCCACCUUGGGCCCGCCGAGGGAGAGCAUGGCGACGGGCGGCACAGAGGCCGAUGACCGUGCAGGGAAGCAGAAUUCGGAAAGAUUGAACCCAUACUUAUUCCAUUGUUCAAAAUACAGUAUGGUUCAAUUGGAUGGUUCAAUACAUUGAUGAUGCAAAGCUUCCAGGUUUUAGUACAGUAGCCCAGGAGGACUGGUGGAGCUGUAUAGUGUUUCUUGUCAUGUUGGAUGACUAAGAAGUUGAGAAAUUUCAUUUGUAAUUUUUGGGCACCAUUAAUCUAUUGUGGCCAUGGUUUUUUUUCAGCAAGCAAAUAACAGAGGAUCAAAUUUUUUGGGGCUAGAUAUAUUAAGAAAUAAAUUUAACUAGGAUUUCUUUUAGGGUUUUUCUUGAGUAGAUAAAAUUAAGGACUUGUGAUUUUUUAUAUAGAAACAUGGAUCAUGUGACUAACAUAUAUGGCGUGUUCAAAAAAGCAAAUAUACACUUAGGUGCUUUGUGUU